rnacentral:rRNA from 1 species
UUCUUUUUGUAUAUGUAAAAAGUAUAACCUGCCCACUGACAAUUUGUUGAAGGGCCGCGGUAAUUUGACCGUGCAAAGGUAGCAUAAUCAUUAGUCUUUUAAUUAAAGGCUGGAAUGAAUGGUUGGACGAAACAUAAACUGUCUUAUUGUUUAUAUUAAAAUUUAAUUAUUAAGUAAGAAAGCUUAAAUUUAUUUAUGGGACGAGAAGACCCUAUAGAGUUUAAUAAUUUAUUUUGUGAUUAUGUUUGUUUACUAUUCUAUAAAAUUAAUUAUUUUGUUGGGGUGAUGGGGAGAUAAAUUGAACUCUUUUUAUUGUUGUGUAUUGAUUUAUAUACUUUUGAUCCAUUUUUUGUGAUUAUAAGACUAAAUUACC